rnacentral:lncRNA from 1 species
UCAGAUUAGAACAGCUUAUUUCAUUACUCACAGAACUCAGUAGGCAAAACACAUCAUCCACUCAAAAUCUAACAUUAUGUUAAGCUCUCAAAAGCACAAACUUACUUUCACGGUUUAUGAAUAACCAAAAAACUUCAAUAACAAGUAUAUUACAAAAUGCACUAUAGAAUGUGAAAAAUAGAAGAACAGAAGAAGUUACUUCAACUACAACUUGGAUUCACUCAACUUUCCAUUCAAAAUACAUGCUUGCAAUCAAAUUGUUGUCCAUAGUUGGGAAGAUUACCUGGAUACGACAAUAUAGAAUAAAAAAUUUAGCUUGGGACUAGGAAGAAAAUGGCAGUAAUAGAACUCAGUAAUGCAACAGUAGCAGCAAAUGAAACCUAAACCAAUUCGAAGUUUCUCAAACCGAGAUAUACAACACCAGAAGUUUUCAGCAAUUAUCAACUAUUCAGAAGAAUCACAGAACGAAAACUAAGUCUGAUUUUAGUAUUUUCAACCAGAAAAUUCAAGGAAUUUAAGAGUAAUGCAAUCGUUUCAAUUUUAAAGUUUCUUAAGUCUCAAAAAAUCUCCCUUUAGUCUCAAAUAACGGUGCCUUUAUAGGCAAGCUAUUAGGGCAGCCUAAAAGAAAUCAGAUUUGCACUUCUACUUUUUUGAUUUUUUAUUUUUGCUUAAGUGUCCCUAGUGUAGAACUCAUACUUUCAAUUUAAUCCCCCUUCCCUUUCCUAGAAGCUUCCCGGUUAGUUAAAAAAGAUUCUCUCAAUUAAAAUCUUCCAAAUACCCUUUAAACCCUUGGCAUUUACCACCAGAAGAUCACAUGGGUCAAUUUUGACCUAAGACUUAAACAUGCUUCUUGAAACGGGUCAGGGAUGGCCUUAAAGCCCAAUUAAACAAAAUGCCCAAAUCGAAAAUCGACUUCCGUGGUGCAAAGAAAAAAAAAAGAAAAAGGAAACAUGUCUAGAAUCGAAUGACUUCAGCAUCAAACUGACUUGACAAACAACUUAUGAGAUUAAACUAAAUAGACUAGAAUUAAAACAGGUUAACAAAUCGACCCAAAACAUGAUUAACCUAAUUAGAAAAUUAGAGCAAGAUAGACUCUCAGACGAACACACUUAAUCUAAUUGACUAACCAAAAUUUAGAACCUACUAAUUUGAAUGACACCUAGCAACAAAAGAAAAUGAAUGAACAAGUUGCAAGAAAUGAAAACAGAAUAAGGACUCAAGUAGAACAAGGUUUAAAGGGGGACUGACGAGCUAUGGAAAAAACGGACAUGCAAAUAAAAAAUGAGAAGCAAGUUUUGUUUAUCAGGAGCCACGAAUGAAUCAAUAAAAGCAUCACCUGAUGACUUCACCGGCAUUUUUCGAUUUGAGAUGAAAUUGAUAUCCAUCGCAUGUUCUGUUGAGAACAAGUGAACAACACAAAUUUCAACCCCAAUCGCUUUUGGAAACAUGACAAUUGGGGAGCUUUAGGGAUUUAAAGUUUGGGGUACUGACCUCAGAUCUGAGAUUCGAGGCGACGGAGGGGGAUCUGUGAGGAAUUGUUUUGGGUUUUAGGACGAGGAUGGGAUACCCAAUUUUUUCUAUGUAUUUUUAUAUACAAAAUACUUUCAGAAUAACAUAUAUAUACAUAUAUAAGCAUACCCCGGUGUUUUAGUAUUUUUCU